rnacentral:rRNA from 1 species
GAGACAGGGUCAGGUAGAGAAUACCAAGGCGCUUGAGAGAACUCGGGUGAAGGAACUAGGCAAAAUGGUGCCGUAACUUCGGGAGAAGGCACGCUGGUGUGUAGGUGAAGUCCCUGCGGAUGGAGCUGAGACCAGUCGAAGAUACCAGCUGGCUGCAACUGUUUAUUAAAAACACAGCACUGUGCAAACACGAAAGUGGACGUAUACGGUGUGACGCCUGCCCGGUGCCGGAAGGUUAAUUGAUGGGGUUAUCCGUAAGGAGAAGCUCUUGAUCGAAGCCCCAGUAAACGGCGGCCGUAACUAUAACGG